GCAUUUUAAGCAGCACAUAUACUAAAAUUGGAACGAUACAGAGAAGAGUUGCAUGGCCCUUACCCAAGGAUGAAA
ensembl:snRNA U6 U6 spliceosomal RNA